rnacentral:rRNA from 1 species
UACGUAGGGUGCGAGCGUUAAUCGGAUUUACUGGGCGUAAAGCGUGCGCAGGCGGCCCGUUGAGACAGUCGUGAAAUCCCUGGGCUCAACCUAGGAAUUGCGCUUGUGACUGGCGGGCUCGAGUACGGUAGAGGGGGGUGGAAUUCCUGGUGUAGCAGUGAAAUGCGUAGAGAUCAGGAGGAACACCGAUGGCGAAGGCAGCCCCCUGGGCCUGUACUGACGCUGAUGCACGAAAGCGUGGGGAGCAAACAGG